rnacentral:rRNA from 1 species
UACGUAGGGACCGAGCGUUGUCCGGAAUCAUUGGGCGUAAAGAGCGUGUAGGCGGCUAUUUAAGUCCUGCGUGAAAUCCUGCGGCUCAACCGCAGACGGUCGUGGGAAACUGGAUGGCUAGAGUGCGGGAGAGGAGAGUGGAAUUCCCGGUGUAGCGGUGAAAUGCGCAGAUAUCGGGAAGAACACCCGUGGCGAAGGCGGCUCUCUGGAACGCAACUGACGCUGAGGAGCGAAAGCGUGGGGAGCAAACAGG